rnacentral:lncRNA from 1 species
GAAGAAGAGAUACCAAAGUGAACAAUUCGAUUAUUUGUUUUGGCAUCCUAUAAACAUGAUAUCUAGGUGCAGAAAUGAGGCAGGUUAAACGAGCAACAAACAAGUUCAGUUUUAAAUCCUAUAGGCAUGCACUCCUAACAAAAGCAUCCUAGCUCCCCACUUUGACUAGUUCCCCAUUAUUCGUUAUUACAAAUUACUGUAGGCCCAAAUGAAAUAAUAUAGACCCAAAUAGAACAGUUACAGACUUAAAUAAAAUAGUUACAGGCCCAACAUAAAUACAAAGUAACCCAGUGAUAUUUCUGGGCCUUCACCAGCCUUACUCUUUGCACAACCAACAGGCCCAAAUCCCAGGGUCACAAGGAUAAUUAAAGCACGCCUGAAUCCAAUGCUUAGAUCCAACAACGCAUGUGGCCCAAUAAACCUGGCACAAACAUGAAGAUAACUGUCUUUGUUAACCAAUAACAAACAGCAGGAACAUAGGAACAUAAAUUCAAACAUGUCAUUCUUGUGACUCAGAGCCCAGACAAGGGGACACACACAUGGAUUCCAUAUAUCAAUUAUCAGCGGAAGGAUUUUUUUAUGUAUUGUCCUAAGGGUGAUGUCUAAUAGGUAGAAGAUCAUACGAACAUAUACCCAAGGACCUUGUAAACACAUAGGAUGAGCACAUACAAGGGCCUUUAAAUUAGCAACAAAUUCAAAGUAACAGACUUUUUUAGGACAAGUAGGACUUAAUUGUAGGAAUCUGGCAAUCAAGGAUCCUUAGAGAAGAGGAAUUAGGCAUGCGAGUUCAAAGCAGACAUUGUUGGGAUUAAUUCUUAGAAUAUUUAACAAGUAGCAAUUUACACAUGGGAGACUUAGCAUGACAUGCUUGAGAAGUACCCUAGAGUAGAUAACAACAACAAUCUUCAAAAGAAGAACUUAACAUAAAAAUGCAAGGCAAAACUAACUUAGAACUGCAGAUCAGUUUAUGGCAAGCAGAAGAAACACUUAUUAAGAAAAGUCAGGGCCAACAGGAUCACAAACUCAGCACAACAACAAAUUAACAUGCAUGUACCUAAUUCUUAGAAGGUCGAAGAUUAUGCAUAUUGAUCAUAUGUAUCAAGUAUUACCCUAGGCGUUACUCAAGCAAACAUAACACUAGCAGGCAUGGGUUUGUAGGACAACAUUGUGGAACAAUAAUACAAUAUUGCGGUUCACAAUAGCAGAGAAACAUAGGUCAUGCUCGUCUAAAAGUUCAGAUAAUAUUGGCAUGUAGAAUUCACAUGAUCAUGGAUUAUGUCUAAGAAAGUUAGCAAGUUGUACAUGAAUGACUCAACAAGAAGAAAUUCAUUCGAAUAAAUUAUGGGCAUGAAUUAAUUUCUCACAAGAAUUUAAAUCAAGGCAGGAAGAUGGACUCGUGACAAGCAGCAAAUAUAAGUACUCAGACAUACAUAAACAUAAUAGGCUAAGCAGGCUUAAGAUGGUCAAAAAUCAUUCAAGUUAAGCACAUAUAAUGAGCAUACAUUAAGUUUAGGAUUUAGGCAAGUUCGGACGCUAGAAAAUACAGGGCUAUAGGAUAAGUCCAAGGCAAAUAGGAUUACAAACAUAGACAAUACAGUAUCAUAUUGGUUCACAAAAGCUUAAAUAAUAUGGAUAUAAAGAGCAUGAACACAAGCAAGAAAGGAAUAAAAUUACAAGAGUCAAGGGUACUUACCAGUUACAAAUUAAGGAAUAAGUAAAUGAGGAAAAGUAAGUUCCAGCAGUAGCUCAAUUAUUAGUAGCAAAGAGAGAACAACAAGACCCCAAACCUAGUGCGUCAGAGUUCACAAGAACUUCAAAUGAGCUCCAAGAAGUGCUCACACUAGGGAGGUUAGUGAAUAAAUUUGGGUGGCCUUAGAUUUCAGCCGGCCAAGAUCCCAGUAGCCUCAGAAUAUUAGAGUGAAUAAAUGAGGGACAAGGAGUAAAAAAGUCUGCCUAAAGGGGAAACAUGGGGGGUUAUAUAGUAUUCAAUAGAACAAACCAAUCAUGUAAAGCAAUCAAUUAAACAUAAAUAAGGAAAGAAUAUAUCACAUGUAAUCAAUGAUAGAAUUAGAAAAGGAGAUGGAAAAUCUCAAACCCUAGUUGGGUCCAAUCGGCUGUGAAUCAAACCAAGGGUGCAAAUAUCAUUCCUCGCUGAGCAUUUAUAGACAAAAUAUCAUUCAAAUUCCACAGAUUCAAGUCAGCAUGAUCCGAUCUUGGAGAUAGUACUUGCCAAAUUCGGGAAAAUACCAAAGUAAUAUCGUAAAUGCACGACCAGUAGCGAGACAACACAAAUAAGGUAAGUAAAUCAUGGUAGGAUCCCAUUAUAAGUCGAAUUUGGAUAGGGGUUGAGGGGUGAAGUGCCUAGGGUUCUUCAGAGAAGAGUGGGAAGAGUCUAGAGGAUUUGGGGGCGGCAGGCG